rnacentral:lncRNA from 1 species
UAGUUAAUUCUAAGUCAUUGUAUUUUGAAGUUAUUCAAUACUAGAAGUUCAUCAAUUUUAAACAUCGACGAAGCAGCUCAAUAGAGAGCUUAUUUGGUAAUAAUUAUGUUUAUAAAGUUAUGUCCAGCAAAUUUCAUUAAACAUAAUGAGUUCUACGUUAUACAAUCCAUAAACCAAAUACUUCGAAAAUAAGUUCCAGCGAAGAUAGUUCCUUUAUACUCAUAAGUUUUAGGCCGUUGGAUAAAGCUGCGGUUAAGAUAAUAGUGGUCUCUGGUUACGAUGAUAGUAGUCCCCUAGGCUUGAAUAGGUGAUUGGUUGAAUAGUAUGAUCUAACGGGUGAAAAUGGUCAAAGAGAUAAAUCUAAUAGCCGAAAACUUAUAUGAGUAUAAAAGGGUCCAUACUCAUAAGAGUAUAGUUGCCGGACUAUAUAUAUAUAUAGUCUGGUAUGCUUUUGGAAGUACGGAGCCAUCCGUGCUUCUAAGUCUUUUUCGAUGUUGGGAUUUUCGAAUCGACAAUCAACUCCGUUAGACUUAAUUUAGAGUAUUUGAAGUAUUUAGAAAAUAAAUUUUAUGAUUUUUUGAUAUCAUUUAACUAGAAAUUGUAGGGGCUCAAAAUCAAUCAUUUUAAUGGCCGUGGUGAAACAUUUGCAAUUUAACGGUGUGCAAAUAUCCAAAUCACAUGAAAUUUUGAUGAAAAAUUUUUUAUACUAUAUGAAACAAGAUCAAUAUCUUUGAUCUAAAAUUUUAAUGUCAUAUCGUCAUAUUUUGUAAAAUUUUUAUUUUCUUCCGUUGAUUUUGAGCCCUUUCGAUCACUAGGCAGAUGAUAUCGAAAAAUCGCAAAAUUUAUUUUCUAGAUACUUUAAAUAUUCUAGAUCAAGUCUAACAGAGCCGAUAAUUAAUUCGACAGUCCCAACAUCAAAAAUAAUUUGGAAGCACGGAAGGCUCACUACUACAAGGUAGAAGAUUUAGUGGCUACAAAUGUCGCCACCAUA